rnacentral:tRNA from 1 species
GCCUGGCUGGCCCAGUUGGUGGAGCGUGGGACUCUUGAUCUCAGUGUUGCGAGUUCGAGCCCUGCGUUGGGUG